GGCCGUCUUGUGUCAGGGCCACCUGUGUCCUGUGCUCCAGCUCCCGAGAGGUCGAGGCGAGGGCUGCUGACUGAUGCCCAGGAGGCUUUGCUGGGAGGAUGGAGCGGGGGUGACGGCGUGACAGGCAGGGCUGGGGAAACAGGUGGGCGUGGGGCACCUAACAAGAGGACUUCCGCUUAGAGCCGCUCAGACCCGCAGCUGGAAACACCUCUCUCUGUGCAGGGUCCACUUAACCCCCUUUUCAGUAAUUUCCAAACAACCAGCAGAGCUAAUGAAGAACGGUCACCCCUCUGGAAGGGCGUUGCCCACGCGUUUGGGAUGUAACAUCUGAAUGCGGUGUGGGCGGGUUUUCUUAUCCGUCCGAACGAAAAUGUUACGGGUGUUAUGGCCAACGGUGCAUAUGUCUCAGAAUUCAUGCAACCGAACUUCACAACAGGUGCAAAAAUCCCUCCCUGAAAAUGCGGGUGUGUGUGUGUGUGGGGGGCACACGUGUUCGCUCCCGUGUCACACGCUUACCGCAGACAAUUGGAUCCAGAAGAACCGGAUUCCGGUCCUGGCACCCUGAUCAACGAGGGUGUGAUUUUAGUGGAUUGCUAACCUCUGCGAGUCUCAGUUUCCUCCUUCCGAUAUCAAUAGUCCUGCCUCUCUGGGUGUUGAUGGGAACUAAAUGAAUUGAUGUUGGUUGAUACUUUUCCAACUGGGAUGUAAACUCCCCAGAGAAAACUCAGGAAUGCACGGAAGUCUCACGAAGCCAUAGGAUACCCAUGGUCAUUCUCACCAGUGCGACGAAGCUUUUGAAGAAAGAGUAUUUUGUAUGAAAACAGAUAUGAAUUUACAAAGAGAAUAAUGUACAGAAGGCCAGAAUUUUUCAGAUGAACCUGGAGACUUCAAAGACAUUUCAAACCCAGAAUUUGUGGCUCUGGGCUGUGCCCCCAUCUCGCCACGGCUCAAUUUCUUUUCUGUAGUGGGUGGCUCUCUGCCAUCACUGGAACCUUCCAGGACCUGAGCCCGGUUCCCGUCGCUCAGCAUGGAGCCCAGGGCAGAGUAGGCGAUGCUGAGCAUUUGUUGAGAUGAAUGAAGCAGGAGGCAGGAAGGAAAGGUGAGGUAGGUCCUUCUUGGCAAGGCAAGACCUCCCUUUAACUCUGUGGAAGGUUCUGGAAACGGGCCAGCACAUUUAGGGGUCAGAAGAGGGGUACCUGAGCUGCCCGGUGCAGCUCUGCCCACAUCUCCCCCCCGCCCCAACCCGAUGCAGGACAGCACCUGCCUGCCAUGGACCAUCCCCAGGCUGGAGGGGGAUGUUGGUGAAUGAGUGACAGCCCCACAGGGGUCUGAGGGUCAAGAUGAGGGCACGUGAGGGGGACUGAGAGGAGACGCCCCCAGACAGGGCAGGGAGUGUGUUCCUGGAUGCCCAGCUGCCACUCAAGAUCGUAAGCUACCAUUUUUAGCACCGAUUAAAUGCCGGGAUUCUAUGCCCAUAUCUUCAAUUCAUAGGUGUAAAUUAUUAUCCUCUUUUUAAAGGUGAAAUCUGAGAAGAGACCCAAGGACGUCCCUGUGAUGGCAUGCUGUCAACCUGGGCAGCUCUGUGUGCCAAGCUCAUCCUCACCUCCUACCCCACACUGCACCCCAACGAGGUGGCACAGGCAGCCCCACUUGGCAGUGUCAGAGUCAGGAGACCCAGGGGGUGGGGGCAUACGGACCAGUGAGAAGGAGAUCAAUAGGACCUUCCACUUCCAAGUGCUAAAACCAUCCUUCCUGGGAGCAGCCUCUGGGCGCCCCAAUGACCUGUCAUCGGGGUGAGGUUGGGGUGUCAGGACAGGCGGGCUGGGAGAGUGCAGUCGUCCCACCCAAGGUCCUGGGCCCUGGAGCUUUGGGAUGGGCACAAGUCACCAGGCAAGAGUCAGCAUUUAGUACGAAGGAAGCAUCAGCCACAAGGUGGCGCCCCCACCCCUCCUUCGGGGUCCAGUGCUCUGCCCGCUUGAACUCGGCAAGGUGACCAGGGCGCUUGCUGCGGGCUGGGCCAGGGGACCAGAGAUGGCUUCUGCCAGAGGGGCAUCUCAUAGCCUUUCAGGAUGCAGGGGCUCCAUGAUCCCGGGGGUGGGGAAAGGACCCUCGAAGUGGAGGGAGAAGCUGGAGGGUUGCAAGUGGGUUUAGGCAGUUCCCAAUUACGCUGUGCCUGAACCCAGAUUUGUGAGAAAAGUCCUAGUUUUAUCUUACAUGUCCCCGGUGGGCACAAAUAGCCUGUCCUGGUCACUUUGCAAUCCCCAUAUUUUUGUUCAGAGAAUCCUCUAGGUAUGCCGGCAAAGUUGGAGGGACAGGAGCCUGGAGAGCUGGGCCCUGAAUGCAGGGUAAGGAGUUUGCGUAGGACUCAGAAGAUGCCGGGGAGCCUCUGGAAGGUUCUAGAUGGCUCUGGCUGCCUGUGAGGGGAGGAUGGAGCAGGCAGGAGGCAGGGUGACUCGGGGCAGUGGGCAGGGAAGUGGAGCAGAGGGGGCAGCUACCUGAGACAGCUCCCUUGGCCUGGCAUCUGCCCUGUGCCUUUACCAUAGGGCCUCUCAUCCUUCUCUAGAUCCCGCCUUGAUGCCCUCCGUGCACCCUGGGUCCCCACUCCGGCUUCCUAUCAAAGUGUGGCCCCUUUCCAAGCUCUGCUAAGAAGGAGCUGACGCGCUCACGGCCAAUCCGUGCCACUGGACUCGCAGGUGCACGUAUGCCCAGAAUCCUUCUGUUUCUGUCUUAGUCCAAAAGGGGGCCCAGUAGUGAAAUUUCAGGCAGCGUGGCAGGCCCGCGUGUGGGGAUGACCAGUACGGGAGGUGGAAGCCAUCCGAGAAGUAGGCUCCCUGUCAUAACCAGUGAAGUCAGAGCCUUUUGACCCCAGGAUCCUCCUCUGGUUCCCAAGGCCAUCUCCUGCUUAGGUCACAGGGACAAUACCUCGUCCUUGGCAUUAGCAUUAGCGUAGCUAGAAAGUGGUUUCGGUUUGAACCACCAAAUUUGGGACAAUUUGUGGUUCAGCAAGACAUAGUCACUGACUCAAGGUUCUGUGUCAGCCUUUAUAAGAGGACAUCUUAUUGUCCAUUACUGGGCAUCAGAGUUUCUUUCAGGAAGAGCAGCAGAUGCGCUCCAUCCGGGAUGAUGGGCAUCUGGCAAAAUCUCAUGAAGCAGGAGUUCCGAUCACUCAGGAUUUAGCAGUGAUGCUAUUAUGCUUAGCUAUUAGCACUUCCAGCAUAAUCCAGAAAGAAUGUUUUGUUGUUUGUUUUUAGGGCUGCCCCUGCGGAAUAUGGAAGUUCCCAGGCUAGGGGUCAAAUUGGGGUUCCAGCUGCCAAGCUGCACCACAGCCAGCCAUAGCAAUGCCAGAUCUGAGUCACAUCUGCCACCUCCAGCACAGCUCACAGCAGCACAGGAUCCCCGACCCACUGAGAGGGGCCAGGGAUCAAACCUGCAUCCUCCUAGGAUUCAUUUCAUCCUAGGAGGAUUCAUUUCCACUGCACCAUAACAAGAACUUCCAGAUGCAGUUUUAAAAUGGAUGAAUCUACCAGAAAUGAAUACAACACUGUAAAUCAAUUAUACUUCUACUUAAAAAAUGGAUAAAUCCAACGACAUAAAAGUUUAACAAAAAGAAAAGAAACUUUUACAUGGCAAAAAACCACGGCAAGCAAAGUCAAAAUGACAUACUGAAGGAAAGUAUUUGUGCAACAUAAAUCAAUGAUAAAAGACUAAUAUGAUUGAUAUUUAAAAAGCUCUUUAAAAACUUGAGGAAAAAGACCAAAAUUCCAACAGAAAACUUGGCAAAAAACCCUGAACAUACAACUCACCAAAAAAUGAAAUAAAUGGCCCAUAAACAUGAAAAAAUAUCCAUCUUCACACAUAAGAGAAAUACAAACUCUAACUAUACCAAAAUGCCAUUUUCACCGCUCAGACUGGCAAUAAUUCAAAAGCUUUACAACACAGCCCAUGGAGAGAGCGGUGUUCUUGGAAGUUGCUGGCGGAAAUCAAAACGCUGAAGCCCCAUAGGAAGGAUGUGACGAUACCCAGCAAAACUGGACGCGUAUUUAACCUUUGCCUCAGCAAAGUCUUUUUUAGAAAUUUAUCGCAAAAAUUUAUUUGCAGUAAACAUAAUGAAAAUACGUCUGGGCAUGGUUAUUCAUUGCAACAUUGUAUGUAAUACAGCAAAGUAUGGCAAUGGCCACAAUGCCCAGAAUUAGAGAUUGCAGGAAUUAAAUGCGGUAUAGCCGGAAAAGAGAACAUUAGGCAGCUGUAAAAAAGAAUGAGAAACCGCUCUUGAAGUUGUUAUGAAAUGAUUUCCAGAAUAUAUUGUUAAGCAGAAAAAAAAAGAGUGCAUAUAUCGUACGUUAUUGUUUGCAUAAAAAGAAUAAUAAGAGGAGCUCCCGUCAUGGCGCAGCAGAAACUAACCCGACUAGGAACCAUGAGGUUUCGGGUUCGAUUCCUGGCCUCGCUCAGUGGGUUAAGGAUCCAGUGUUGCCAUGAGCUGUGGUAUAGGUCGCAGAUGNAAAGAGAAUGAGCUUGCUCUGAAUAUGUCUUUUCACAUUUUGGGGGGGCCACACCCACAGCAUGCACAAGCUCACCUGCCAGGGAUUGAACCUGAGCCACAGCAAGGAAAAUGCUGGUUCUUUAACCCGAUAAGCCACCAGGGACUCUAGCUUUUCACAUGCUUUUGACAAACUUUUGGAAUUUUGUUCAUGUGUCACAUAUUCAGUAAGUACAAUUCAAUCACUAUGAAUGCGGAGGUCACCACGCGUAAAACUGAAUAAACCUGAAACAAAUAAACCGAACUAUACAUCAGAUGGCUAACACAAUCACAGGAAAAAAAAAAAAAA
rnacentral:lncRNA from 1 species